UACGAAGGGGGCUAGCGUUGUUCGGAAUUACUGGGCGUAAAGCGCACGUAGGCGGGUUGUUAAGUCAGGGGUGAAAUCCUGGAGCUCAACUCCAGAACUGCCUUUGAUACUGGCAACCUAGAGACUGGAAGAGGUUAGUGGAAUUCCCAGUGUAGAGGUGAAAUUCGUAGAUAUUGGGAAGAACACCAGUGGCGAAGGCGGCUCACUGGUCCGGUACUGACGCUGAGGUGCGAAAGCGUGGGGAGCAAACAGG
rnacentral:rRNA from 1 species